GCGGUCUUAGAUUAAAAUCCAUCACUGAAAGUUUAUACGAAGAUGGGGAAGAACUUUGGUCGCUUGACUGCUGAGGUACGCGGUACCGUGUGUUGUACUAAAAGACAACACGCCUCUGGAUUACCUCCGCCAAAUGUGACAACGAUGUUGUUACUGGAAUGUUUGAUACCGUGCAACAGGUUCUGUUGCUGAAACUGGCGAAGAUG
rnacentral:lncRNA from 1 species